AGUCCUGUGACUCCUCACUAGGACUACCCUGGCCAAGGUUUUGCUAAAUUGAAACACGACUGUAUACAGCUCCUGAACUGGAGUGGUCAAUCCCAUCUUGACACACGCACCGACAAGUCAAGUACUUGACUACACCCAGCAGCCUUCCGUCACUGAAUUAGAAAUUCAGAUAGUCCAGUGCCUAAGUGCAGUGAGUUGCUUGCAAGUCACUGUGGCGGUCUC
rnacentral:lncRNA from 1 species